rnacentral:snoRNA from 1 species
AAGCAUCUACUUUAUAGACCUGGAGCAGUUAUGGCUUGCAACUAUUCUGCUGACUAUAAAUGCCAGACAAAUAUAUCCUCACCCUUUCUACCUGCCUGACUGUGACAGCAAGACUGAAUGGGGGAAUGUAGUA